GGAUGUGAGGGCAAUCUGGCUGCAACAUCUGUCAGCCCGUUGAUCGCCAGGGAUGAUCAGGCCGAUCUGGCUGGCUGGGCUGCUGUCUCCUUCCUCCCUCACUGCCCCAUGUGCGUCCCUCCUGUGGCUGCAUGCUGGGUCGACAACGGAUGGCCUUCCCUGAUGAGAGAGGGACAGCUCUUAGUUAAAGGGUAUGAGAGUAGGUGCACCCCCCCCCCCAUGAGAACCUCCACUCAUGCUCUCAGAACCCAACCACUGAUUUCAGAUCAUACCUUUCCGGGCAUUG
rnacentral:snRNA from 1 species